GUCGAACACUUUGAGAUUAGAUGCAGAUCAGCGUGCAGGGCUGGACGUGAGGAUGGGGCACUCUUUGCUCUGUUUGCUGGGGUUAUUCUUGCUCAGUACAGUCAUCCAUGGAAACACUGAAGAACUUGGAGUGAAGGCCACUCUGACAGCAGACAGAUUAACCAUACCAGCAGGGGGCAGUGUGACACUGACCUGUGAUGUGAAGUACUCUGUUGACUUUGAAUAUGACUGGUUAAGAGAACUCAGUUUAAACUCUAAUCAGAAGAUCACAGUAACUGGUGAAUCAAAGAGAGAACUGGUGACCUCUAAAGGCGGCAUCUACAACUGCAGAGGACGUAUAAAAGGGACAAAUUCAGUCACAGUACAAAGUGAUCGAGUCAUCAUUCAGGAAACUGUUUCCAACAGGAUCGAUGUGAAACUGCAGCACAGCUGGUCUCAGAUAUUCACUGGUGAGACAAUCACUCUCAGAUGUGAGAUUCA
ensembl:lncRNA